rnacentral:lncRNA from 1 species
CUGGGAGGGACAGCGUGAGGAGCAAACGGAGACCUGCCGUGUUCGGGAGACAUGCUGUUUGCGUGUCCGGACUCGCCCCUAGUGCUGGAGCAAUCCGCCAGAGAAGAUGGCGACACCGACCAAGAAACAGACCGCCUGCUGGGUCAACAGAGGUCAGACGACCCCGGGUUCUACGAUGAAAAGG